AGACAACCGGAACUGCUGAGGCCGGAGAAUUCGAGAUAACAAAGUGUGCAGCUGGAUGAACACAGCAGGUCAAGCAGUAUCAGAGGAGCAGGAAAGCUGACGCUUCGGGCCUAGAUCCUUCGCUGAGACCAAGAUUUGUGCAAUUGAGAUACCAGCGAUCGUUGCCAAAGCCCUGUUGCUAGUGGAGAAGUUAACUCUCGUGUCCUGCUGCAGUUUGUAUGAUGAAGAUGCUCCCACAAUGCGGCCAUUUGAGAAGUUACAGAUCAUUCAUCUAGCAAUACUGAAGAGCUAACGGCGAUAUUACAAGUGGACUUUCAGGUGGGAAUCUCAAUAAUUGUAACACCAAACUCUGACAGAAUUACUCAAUUCAUCAGGACCUGGAUAUUCACAUUAUAUUUCCACAAUUUUACUUCUGCACUGUUCUUAGUCUUUCAGAGGGAUCGAAAGACUGAGUUACAGAGCUAUACAAUGCCUGUCCUUCCUCCCUGGCUCUCCCACCUCUCUUUCAGGAGUUUUGUGCAAACACUGACUGGAUCCCUUACCUGGAGGAUAUUUAUUUAUGAAUUUGUUCUAAUGAUAAUCCAGCAUAUUCCCCAAGUAUCGCUCCACAAAUGUCCAGAGGAUUUCUCAGUUCCACAAUCUGUGUGUGUUCUUCUGGUUCCUCGCUCACUGCACUUGCUUUCUGUUUGAAAGCUUAGUCUACAGUUAGAGAAUUCAAACAGGAACACAUCCAGAUCUGACAGUCACUUUGUUUAUCACAACUCAAUUACCUAAGGAUUUUGAACACUGAAGGAAAAAGCAGUUCUCACAGUGGGGAGAAAUGCACAUGAUCUGUGAAGAUUCAUCUGAAAUGUCCUUACACCAGCUCAGUGACACGGGGGAGAGACCAUUCACCUGCUCUAAAUGUGGGAAAGCAUUCACUCAGUCAUCCAAACUGUUAACACACCAGUGAGUUCACAAAGAAGCACAGUUGAAGGAUUUUGCUGUCACUCUCACUAUCAAAUGAACCAUGGUUUUGGGCUGUUUGUACUGAUGUUACUGAUCCCUGUUCAAUUAAAGGUACUGGUAUUGUGGAUAAAA